rnacentral:rRNA from 1 species
CCUACGGGUGGCAGCAGUGGGGAAUAUUGGGCAAUGGAGGAAACUCUUACCCAGCAAUGCCGCGUGAGCGAAGAAGGUCUUCGGAUUGUAAAGCUCUUUGAUUGGGGACGAAGUAAGUGACGGUACCCAAGGAACAAGCCCCGGCUAACUAUGUGCCAGCAGCCGCGGUAAUACAUAGGGGGCGAGCGUUGUCCGGAAUUACUGGGUGUAAAGGGCGUGUAGGCGGGGAUGCAAGUCAGAUGUGAAAUUCCGGGGCUCAACCUCGGCACUGCAUCUGAAACUGUGUCUCUUGAGUGCUGGAGAGGAAAGUGGAAUUCCUAGUGUAGCGGUGAAAUGCGUAGAGAUUAGGAGGAACACCAGUGGCGAAGGCGGCUUUCUGGACGAUAACUGACGCUGAGGCGCGAAAGCGUGGGGAGCAAACAGGAUUAGAUACCCUUGUAGUC